AGAGGAGGAUCGGAAGGCAGGAAGCUCGUGUCGUGGUGAGAGAUCAGUCUCCACGUAGAGAUCCGUCUCCACGUUGCGAUACUUCUAUUCUCGAAGAGCUCGUGAAAAUAUGAAGAUGACUAGGGGAAGAGAUCCCAUACAUUUUGGAUGAAGAACACACUGAAGAGUUAAUAUAAGAGUCGUGUGGCGUAAGAGACUCCACACUGGACACAGCAAGAUCUUUCAUACAUGAUACUUCUAUUCCUGAAGAGCUCGUGAAAAUAUGAAGAUGACUAGGGGAAGAGAUCCCAUACAUUUUGGAUGAAGAAUACACUGAAGAGUGUAUGCAAGAGUUGUAUGGCGUAAGAGACUCCACACUGGACACAGCAAGAUCUUUCAUACAUGGUCAGAGCUCAUAGCCAACCAGAAGAUAAGAAUCUGCCAUCUACUAAAGCUUUUACUUUGUCAAUGUCAAGAAAUAAAAAAAGUAUACACAUAGAGGAGACAGAUACUGAUAGAAAAAGGGCAAUAUUCUGGGUGAUACAACAUUAGAACUGCAGGAGGCCAUAGCAUAGGAGACUAAAAGUUUUGCCACAGACUUCCUGAGGUGAUAUAGUCCGAAUCUUCUUCAAUGCUGAUUCCAUCACCCGCUGGUAUUUGUAUAAUAUGGAACUUUUCAAACGAAACAUUAGCAAUGUUUUAAAGGACUAUGUGUGAAUGUAGUCUCCUCUCUUGUUAUUGCUGUCCAGUUGAGCUGCUUCUGUUGAAGAAGCUCAAGAAGGACCUGUCCAUACAGGUUUUCACCUGAAGGUGUAGGCUGUUGAGCAGGACUGUGCUGUGAAAUACUAAUAAACUGUAUAUAUUUAAAAUUGUGGUACUAUUCUAGUUCUAAAGUAUCUUUGACCCUCAAUCUGUUCACACCACUUUUGGAUGCAUCACUUGUGGUUUCUCUGUGAAACAAUAUACUUGUCUGUGAAUUGGUAUUAUUAAUAUGUAACUCACACUGGUAUGUUAGUUCAAUUAUAUUAUUGUUGGUGAGCAAAGAUUUAUUGGGCAAUUUGAGAAAGCAUCCUUUUUAACCACAUAGCACUCAUAUAAGCCAGUUUUUAUAUUCAGAGCCAUGUCCCAUCAGGACAAGAAUGUGAAAAUGAAUUCAGAUGUCAUGCUGUUGGUAUGGUUCAAAUGAGGAGUGUUCUGACAUCUCACAUAGCCAGCUGGAUAACUGCAAGGUGCAGGUGUUUCCAAGAAUACCUGGCAUGGCUUAUGAACACUGGACUAUUUAGCCUCAGGCUUCCUGACCAAAAUACUCUCCUAACACUGUGUCAAGAUGAGAAGCACAUCAACUCAUAGAAUAAUUCUUAAAUGUUACUAUGUCAGACAGUGGCAACUUCUUGAAGAACCUACUGAUAACUAUAGGGGAGAAAGAAAAAUCCCAAGAGAAGGUGACUGUAUAUAAGCAUGUCAAGUGUCAAUCUUAUAUACAUAAGACAUUCCUUUGGAUCGUUUCUUUACAGUAAGUUGGCAGUGCUUCUGGACUGAGAACUGUGUUUUCCUGUUGCUAGCAGUUGCCAUGAAUUUACUGGAAGCACUGACUCAUGCUUAAUUAGUGGUGCCUUGGCUUAUUUUUAUACUGUUUUUAUGUAUUUGGAGUAUAUGCUAUUUUUAAGGCACAUAUUGUUCUUCUAAAUAUGUCAUUGUAAUACGGCAUAAUGAUUUUUACGAUAUUGAAAUUCAAAGAAAAUAUCUUUUCAAUAUCUUGUUUUGACUUAAUUCCAAGCAGACAAAUCUAUGGAUGAUAAGCUUUCUUCAUAUAAGUCAGUUAAUCAAGUAAUGGAUUGCCUGUUAUCUAAUACAUGGAUUUGGCUCCUAAAUUUCUCAGAGAUAAUGAAAUGAUACCGACUAAUAUGAUUGCACAGCUCUUUGCAUUGAAAAAAGUCAACAUUUAUUUUCCAUCUGAAGGGAGAGCAGGAAAGUGUUAAUGUCUUAAAACCAUGACAAAUCUCAGUGGAAAACACCUUUGCUUGUAGUGUUUGUUCACCACAUGGUGCAUGCCUCAGAGGGUGUUAAAUCAGCAAAACUGCUGAAUUUGAAAUAUAGGGAACAUUUAUCUGCCUCUGAAUUCAGUUAUGCUAUGUGCAAAGAUCCUGAAUAGAAUCUGAUAGUAUAACAGCAAUGUAGAAUUGCAUAUUAAACAUACCUAACCUGUCAUUAAAAACCUCUAAUUACAG
rnacentral:lncRNA from 7 species